UCUGGUAUUGAUUGGUGCUUGCAUCAUGAUUUACAUUUGAGUGAGUGGCGAACUGGUGAGUAACACGUGGGAAACCUGCCCAGAAGCGGGGGAUAACACCUGGAAACAGAUGCUAAUACCGCAUAACAACUUGGACCGCAUGGUCCGAGUUUGAAAGAUGGCUUCGGCUAUCACUUUUGGAUGGUCCCGCGGCGUAUUAGCUAGAUGGUGGGGUAACGGCUCACCAUGGCAAUGAUACGUAGCCGACCUGAGAGGGUAAUCGGCCACAUUGGGACUGAGACACGGCCCAAACUCCUACGGGAGGCAGCAGUAGGGAAUCUUCCACAAUGGACGAAAGUCUGAUGGAGCAACGCCGCGUGAGUGAAGAAGGGUUUCGGCUCGUAAAACUCUGUUGUUAAAGAAGAACAUAUCUGAGAGUAACUGUUCAGGUAUUGACGGUAUUUAACCAGAAAGCCACGGCUAACUACGUGCCAGCAGCCGCGGUAAUACGUAGGUGGCAAGCGUUGUCCGGAUUUAUUGGGCGUAAAGCGAGCGCAGGCGGUUUUUUAAGUCUGAUGUGAAAGCCUUCGGCUCAACCGAAGAAGUGCAUCGGAAACUGGGAAACUUGAGUGCAGAAGAGGACAGUGGAACUCCAUGUGUAGCGGUGAAAUGCGUAGAUAUAUGGAAGAACACCAGUGGCGAAGGCGGCUGUCUGGUCUGUAACUGACGCUGAGGCUCGAAAGUAUGGGUAGCAAACAGGAUUAGAUACCCUGGUAGUCCAUACCGUAAACGAUGAAUGCUAAGUGUUGGAGGGUUUCCGCCCUUCAGUGCUGCAGCUAACGCAUUAAGCAUUCCGCCUGGGGAGUACGGCCGCAAGGCUGAAACUCAAAGGAAUUGACGGGGGCCCGCACAAGCGGUGGAGCAUGUGGUUUAAUUCGAAGCUACGCGAAGAACCUUACCAGGUCUUGACAUACUAUGCAAAUCUAAGAGAUUAGACGUUCCCUUCGGGGACAUGGAUACAGGUGGUGCAUGGUUGUCGUCAGCUCGUGUCGUGAGAUGUUGGGUUAAGUCCCGCAACGAGCGCAACCCUUAUUAUCAGUUGCCAGCAUUAAGUUGGGCACUCUGGUGAGACUGCCGGUGACAAACCGGAGGAAGGUGGGGAUGACGUCAAAUCAUCAUGCCCCUUAUGACCUGGGCUACACACGUGCUACAAUGGAUGGUACAACGAGUUGCGAACUCGCGAGAGUAAGCUAAUCUCUUAAAGCCAUUCUCAGUUCGGAUUGUAGGCUGCAACUCGCCUACAUGAAGUCGGAAUCGCUAGUAAUCGCGGAUCAGCAUGCCGCGGUGAAUACGUUCCCGGGCCUUGUACACACCGCCCGUCACACCAUGAGAGUUUGUAACACCCAAAGUCGGUGG
rnacentral:rRNA from 2 species